UUGUAAGUAACACCUGCUCAAUGAAUUUUAAAUAGCUGCGGAAAUUUAACCGUGCUAAGGUAGCAUAAUCAUUAGCCUCUUAAUUAGAGACUCGUAUGAACGGUGAAACAUUUCAAUUACUUUAUUAAUUAACUUUAUCAAAUUUAAACCAAGAAUAAAAAUGUUCUUAUAAAUUAAUUAGACGACAAGACCCUUUUGAACUUUACUAUUGUUUAGCUGGGGUAGCUAUAAAAUAUUAAUCUUCUUAACUUUAUUUAUAUAAAUGACCCAAUUCAAUUGAUUAUUUGAACAAGUUACCAUAGGGAUAACAGCGUAAUAUUUUUUAAAAGUUCUUAUUUAAAAAAAUGAUUGCGACCUCGAUGUUGAAUUAAUGUAACUUU
rnacentral:rRNA from 1 species